rnacentral:lncRNA from 1 species
CCAUUUCACAUAUUAUUGGCGCUCAAUUCAACUAAUUUACCUGACCGAGUCAUUUUCAACCUAUAAGUUCAUCAUCAUGCCAUCACUAAUUUGCUUAAUAAAUUCAAUGAAUUUUUUUUGUAAAACAUAGGUAAUAGUAAUACAUAUAGAUUCAUGUUAUUGAAGGAAAUAGAGAAAAAAUAAAUUUAUAAAACAAUGAAUAUUUU